CCCAUAACAACCCAGUGGAGUAGGCGCUAUUAUCGUCCCCAUUUUCUAGAUGAAGAAAUGGAGGCACAGAGAGAACUUUCCCAAGGUUGCACAAGUAAUAAAUGAUGGAACAAGGAUUUUGACCCAGCUCCAGAGGCCACACUUGUAUCCACCCUGCUAACCCAGCUCAAGUCAAAGUGCCUCAUUCUGAUUCUAACAGAAGGAGGCUGAGAGGCACUCACUCCUUUGGGACCAGGUUACAGCUACAAAAUAAACACAGAUAAGUAUUUCUUUGUCUCACUUCCCUCAUCUGGAAAAUAAGGGUAAUGAUUAUUUCUACCCCAGAGGGGUGUGACAAGGAUAAAACAUGGAGACACAGUUAGAAAAGUGCCUGGCACUCAGCAUAGACUGGAGAGCUUUGAAUGGACAUUCAGUAUCAACAUUUUAAAAGUCAGGAUGGGCAAGUACCGCCCUCAGGCUGCCAGUUUACUCUCUCUGAUAUAACAAGCCUCUGCCGUGUGCCAGUGCCUGAUUAGUAUUUUAUUUUGUUAUUUAUUUAUUUAUUUUGCGGUACGUGGGCCUCUCAUUGCUGUGGCCUCUCCCGUUGCGGGGCACAGGCUCUGGAUGUGCAGGCUCAGUGGCCAUGGCUCACGGGCCCAGCCUCUCCUCGGCAUGUGGGAUCUUCCCAGACCGGGGCACGAACCCGCGUCCCCUGCAUCGGCAGGCGGACUCUCAACCACUGCGCCACCAGGGAAGCCCCUGAUUAGUAUUUUAGAUGCAUUUUCCAAUGUAACCUCCCAGGGCCCUUGGAGCUGGAUCAUUUUGUGCUCAUUUUACCACGUUCACCAUGGCCCUGCCCAGCCAGUGCAGGGCCAGGGGCCACACCCAGACACUCUGACUUGAAAACCCAGGGUCUCUCCCCUUCUCUACCCUGCUCGUUGACAGCUGAAUGAAUUAACCUUCUUGGUGGCGUUAAUUAACAUCAUCCAGCUGUCCAGAGGUGGAUGUGAAUCAAAACAGUGAUGUUCUUUUGUUGGUUUGAAUCAACAAAUCAGUGACUUACUUUUCAAGGCUGAUUUCUAAUUCAGAUGAGUAAAGUCAAAGCAUAUGCCCUAUGGAUAUAUGACUCUGAUUUGCCGGGCAGCAUAGCAUAUAGCUAAUGUAUCUAAACCUUUGUCGUUAUUUAAAUCUAGGUUUUCAAAGAGGGCCAAAGGCACAGCCCCUUUACAUUCUAUUUAAAACUGAAAAAUGAGUUCAUUCAUUAAAACAGAUAUCUUUUGGUCAUCUACUGAUGAUUAAGAGAAAUCUGUGCACUCAGGGAGUAGACAGAUGAGUUUUAUGGAAAAUGAGCUGGGAGAAUGGAGAACUAAGUGCAGUCAGCUCUGAGGCAGGUGAGACUAACCCUGCCUGCAGGAGGGACAAGCUGAGGACAGCCUCAUAAUCCAGAAGAAUAGGAUGGACAGUGGCGGGGGAGGGGAAGGCAGAGGGAAAGUCACGUGCACUGACCCAUGGGAGCCAGAGGGACGUCUAAGGCUGCGGCACUGGGUGUUCUGUGGAGUCUGUGGAGAUGAGUGUGGAAUGUUAAGGGGACAAUCUGACCCACAGGGACACCAGCAGGGAUUAUGGUCUCUGGAACCUCUACCAUCAUAUCCAUCAGUACUAAGUGGUAGAAUCAGCCUACCUGAAAACCUGUUUCUUGUUCUUCAUAAUCUCCAUUUGGAUUCCCACCCUGGAAUUUGUUGAGGCUAAACAUGGCAGAGAAUCUCAAGGAGACAUCAAACUAACAGAUCACUUCAGUUACGUUGACUUGCCUCCAGAUUCACCUCUUCUGCCACCCUUAGGCGCUGUCUUCUCAGCGCUCCCGGGGGUCUGCCCGGGGAUCCCUGCUCCAUUCUGAAGCAUGACCGGGAUGCGGAGGCUACAAACACGCCAGAGAUGACAUAGCAACAGUUUUGUGGAGGAGAAUAUCAAGUAGGCGUUUUGAUGAUGCUGAUAAUGAAGCUGGUUGCAGAAAAUGGGAGCUGCAUCAGACAAUACCGAAUAAAUUAUUUUGUGCUGUCUCCUCUUAAUGCCUGGGUUAAAGCAACCCAAGCCAACUGCAGUUCCGCAACACCGUGUGAGCGCUCCAGUGAGGCAGAACCCUGCACCAUCAGCGAUCCAUCACCUGUUUGAACCUGAAUAGCACCAGGAACGAGCUAGUAGCUACAGAAUAAGUAGCUACAGAACAAGUAGUGAACAAGAUAAAUACAGUUCCUGCCCUCAAGGAGAUCAUGGCAUCCUCCCCUCUCUACCUGUUGGAACCCCGUUUACUUUAAGGUAAAGUCCAAAUAUCACCUCCACUGUGAAGACUGCCCUGAUCUCUUCAGGCAGAAGUAUUCUUUCGCUUCUCUAAAACUCCUGCUUUGCUCAUUUGUUCUGCUUCUAGCCUACGUGCCACAUAAGGACUUUGAACAUAAGACAUGUAGACAUAGUUACUUCGUCUUUGUAAUACUUUCACCAUCUAGUGGGAACACAGUGAAUGACUGAAUGAAUAUGUUAAGACUAGUUAUUUAAAAAACUGCCCAUGGACUGCUACACCUGAAACAACUGUUUAAGGAAACAUAUCUGACACGGUUUCAACUCGGCAUAGGUGACUGCAGUGCCUUGAGGACACUUGGGGAGAAAGUUCAUCUAUAAAGCAACUGGCAGUUGGCCUGGAGAUUAAGAGGAUGUACCCUGAAGUCUUGUCAUCUUUUAGUUAUUUUGUCCCAUUAUAGUAUGUUUCUGAACUUGGCACAGGGAAUUAAAAAGCUGAUUUUCUAUGGUCGGAAAUUCUUAAAAAUACUUCUCUGUCAUUAUAAAACUUUGAAAACAUGUAAAAGCAUGAAGAAAGAAAUUAGAGUCACCCAUAAUCCACCAUUCAGACAAAAAUCACGGUUAACGUUUUGGUGUAUUUCCUUCCAGUCUUUUUCGUCUGCAGUUUGAAGAGAGUCUGCUCUGGAGUGCUGGAUCUCACUCUGGUGCUCAGGAUGGGCGGACUUACGGAGGAGAACAUUCUGCUUAUCGUAUUAAAGCAGCGCCGUCUCUGUCGCCUCCACGUUCUGCCUUUCCUCGCUGAUGACUCUCUGUUUCUUUUUCCCUACAUUGUGUUCUACGUCUUCCCCCACUGAAUGCAGAGUUAUGGUUUUGCGACCCUACUUUGGGUCUUCACUCAAUCUCUGGUCCCCACAUCAUGUCCCUGAUCAGCAUCUCAGAGCCCUGUCACUUCAAAUCCAUUCAUCGCACCUCCUUGACUCUGAAACCAAGUUCCUGGGCCACAUCUUGUCUUUAUCACACUUUUGCCCCACUUGUAAGCAUUUUCGCAUGGCAUUAAAAAGACUCUGUAAAU